UACGUAGGGGGCUAGCGUUAUCCGGAAUCAUUGGGCGUAAAGCGCGUGUAGGCGGUUCGGUAAGUCCGCUGUGAAAGUCGGGGGCUCAACCCUCGAAUGCCGGUGGAUACUGUCGGACUAGAGUACGGAAGAGGCGAGUGGAAUUCCUGGUGUAGCGGUGAAAUGCGCAGAUAUCAGGAGGAACACCGGUGGCGAAGGCGGCUUGCUGGGCCAGUUCUGACGCUGAGGAGCGAAAGCGUGGGGAGCGAACAGG
rnacentral:rRNA from 1 species